rnacentral:misc_RNA from 3 species
CACCACUCAAGCCUGGCUUGGUAUUGGGCGCCGCGGUGUUCCGCGCGCCUCAAAGUCUCCGGCUGAGCUGUCCGUCUCCAAGCGUUGUGAUUUCAUUAAUCGCUUCGGAGUGCGGGUGGCCGCGGCCGUUAAAUCUUUCACAA